rnacentral:rRNA from 1 species
UUUAGUGGCGAACGGGUGCGUAAUACGUGAGAAUCUGCCUUUAGGAGGAGUAUAACUGUUGGAAACGACUGCUAACACUCCAUAUGUCGAGAGAUGAAAUAAUUUAUUGCCUAAAGAUGAGCUCGCGCCUGAUUAGCUAGUUGGUGAGGUAAUGGCUCACCAAGGCCACGAUCAGUAGCUGGUUUGAGAGAACGAUCAGCCACACUGGGACUGAGACACGGCCCAGACUCCUCCGGGAGGCAGCAGUGAGGAAUUUUCCGCAAUGGGCGAAAGCCUGACGGAGCAAUACCGCGUGAGGGAUGAAGGAUUUUGGUCUGUAAACCUCUUUUCUCAAGAAAGAAGUUCUGACGGUACUUGAGGAAUAAGCAUCGGCUAACUCCGUGCCAGCAGCCGCGGUAAUACGGGGGAUGCAAGCGUUAUCCGGAAUCAUUGGGCGUAAAGCGCCUGUAGGUUGUUUAAUAAGUCUGUUGUUAAAGACUAGGGCUCAACCCUA